CAACACAAAUGCAAAUGUUUUAUUUGUGGGGAGCCUGGACAUUUUGCCAGAGAUUGUAAAAGAAAAACAGGAAAUAUUGCCAGAGCAACUAUCAUGGACCAAUUAGAUUUACCUUCUGAUUAUGAUAUAUUGUCUAUUGAUUUAAAUGAACCUGAUUCUGAUGCAAUUUGUAGUCUUUCAGAAGGAGAAGUCGGCCCUAUCAAUUAUGCAAAGUAUGCUCUAGAAGAUUUACAAUGGGAAGGAGUUUUCAUGAUGAGAGAUGAAGAAUGUGGAUGGCGAUCCCGUAUCUAUGUGGGCGACUUAAUGAAAAAUUGCCAACAUAAUUGGGAGGAAAAUACCACCGUCUCGGAUUCCAAAUAUCUUUAUUGCACAUUUUGCAAAAUGAUUACAACUGACACUAUGCGAAUUCAUUGUCUGCAUUGUAGAAUGACGGCUUGCCCAUAUUGUGCUAAGUAUUAUUUAGGCAAAACCAUUCCAUAUAAGGAGAUACCAAUAGUACCUCCUUACCAAAAACAAGAAGAGAUUAUACGGGAAUUACUAGACUACACACAGCAUCUGCAAGCAUCUUUUCAUAAACAAAAAGGGAAAUCCAUAAUAAUUGCAGACACAGAUGAUGAUGUAUCUGACUCGGAAUUUAUGCCUUUCAAACAGGGGAAGGAGGAGGAAAAGAAGAAAGAGGUAACCUUUGAAUUCCUAAAGGUUAACCAUAACGGCAAAAAUUCCGGAACAACGCACCAAAGGAGCAGCAGGGUAUGAUCUUUUCCUAGAUCAAAUGAUUGACAUACCUGCAAGAGACAGAAUGCUAGCACAAACAGGAAUAAGUAUGGAAUUUCCAGAAGGAUAUUAUGCAAGAAUAACACCAAGAUCUGGAGCAGCAUUACAUCGGAAGAUGGAUAUCAGAGCAGGAGUAAUUGAUGCUGAUUAUAGAGAAGAAGUUGAAAUAUUAACAUCCACACCAAGAGAUACUGGAUCUUUUGGCUCCACUAACGAAGCGGCAUUCUCGGCACCAACAAAAUCCUUGCUUAACAGAUUAUAUAAUAUGGAAAUUAUUUUUCAUAUUCCGGGAAUUCAAGAUACAAAGGUACAAGCCAUCCUGGAUACUGGUGCUACAAAAUGUUGUAUUUGUCAAGAUGCCCUUCCAAAGGAGGCCUUUGAAGAAAUAAAUUAUAAAGUGGUUUUCUCGGGGAUAAAUUCACAGCAGGAAACAAAGAAAGAGGUUAAAGAUGAACAGUAGCAGGUGGGCUACAAAUUGAGGGGACAGAAAUAACAUUUUACAGGAGUAUCACAACCAUCAAUACUACCCCGGAAGGCACAUGCUAUACCAGAACUAGAAAUGGAGGAAGAAGAAUUUAUAACACUGAAUGAAGAAUUGAAUUCAAAGGUAUGUUUUGGAUAUAAUACCAAUUUCCAGUUACAAUUUGCACCUAUCAUGCAAAGAUUAAAGGAUUGGUGAAAAUCCUAUUUUACAUUGGGCAAAGAAUAAAGUUAUUUGCACCCUGGAUAUAAUUAAUCCUGAUUUAACCAUUCAGGAUAAACCAUUGAAACAUAUUACUCCUGCCAUGGAAGCUAGUUUUAAAUCACAUAUUGAGACUUUAUUGUCACUAAAGGUCAUUAGACCAAGUACUAGCAGGCAUAGAACCAUGACCUUCAUUGUGCAAUCAGGGACAACAAUUGAUCCGGCAACAGACAAAGAAAAGAAAGGGAAAGAGAGGUUAGUAUUCAAUUACAAAACGUUGAAUGAUAAUACCUACAAAGAUCAAUAUUCAUUACUAGGUAUUAACCUCAUAUUGAAGAAAAUUGGAAACAACAGGAUAUUCUCUAAAUUUGAUUUAAAGUCAGGUUUCCAUCAAGUAAUGAUGAAUCCGGAUUUAGUCCCCUGGAUAGCCUUCUUAGUUCCACAAGGUCUUUAUGAAUGGCUAGUCAUGCCAUUCGGUUUUAAAAAUGCUCCAGCAAUUUUCCAGCGAAAAAUGGAUAACUGUUUCAAAGAUUGUGAAGAAUUUCUAAUAGUAUAUAUUGAUGAUAUACUGGUUUUAUCACCCUUAGAAGAAACUCAUGUACAAUACUUAUCAAAAGUGCUAGAUAUAUGUGCAAAGGAGGGAUUGGUGUUACACCCUCAAAGAUAAAAAUGGCACAAACUGAAAUUGAGUUUCUGGGAGCUACUGUGAGAAAUCGAAGGAUCAAGCUACAACAACAUAUUAUUAAAAAGAUCAUCGACUUUGAUGAGCAGAAACUACAGACACUAAAAGGGCUUAGAUCCUGGCUAGGGAUUCUCAAUUAUGCCAGGCCAUAUAUAAAGAAACUAAGUACUCUCUUAGGUCCUUUGUAUUCCAAGACUUCCCCUAAUGGUGAUCGACGAUUUAAAACUUCUGAUUGGGAAAUAAUCAGAAAAAUAGUUCAAGAACUUCUAGACUUAGAACUUCCCGAGACUCAUAUAUUAUUAUUGAAACAGAUGGUUCAAUGGAAGGAUGGGGCGGAAUUUGCAGGUGGAAAAAGUCAAAAUUUGACUCAAGAAGCACAGAACGAGUUUGUGCAUACGCAAGCGGAAAAUUUCCCUCAGUAAAAGCAACAAUAGAUGCAGAAAUAUAUGCGUGCAUGGAAGCAUUAUCUGCUAUGAAGAUUCAUUACUUGGACAAAAAAGAAGUUACUCUCAGAACAGAUUGCCAUGCAAUUAUAAAGUUCUUCACCAAAAUCGCACAAAAUAAACCUUCUCGGGUUAGAUGGAUAUCUUUUGUGGAUUAUAUCACAGGAACAGGAGUGGAUAUGCACUUUGAGCACAUAGAAGGAACCAAUAAUGAAUUAGCUGAUGCUUUGUCCCGAUUAAUUCAUUAUGUGACCACAGUAUCAUAUAUUCAUGACGAUCAAGAGGAUUUGUUCAGGACAACUGACGCGACAAUUAAUGAGACCAAAGAUGCUCCUCUCUUUAUUAAAGACCAACUGGCUGAAACGAUAAGCUCUAUUAUUGCAUCACUCAUUAAAGGUGAAGACAACUAUGCUUGUUCGACACUCAGAGAGGACACUUGUAUAUAUUCUAAGGAACUGAGCCCCUGGGAGCCGUUCCUUUAUAAAGUGUAAUCAAUAAUUGAGUGUAAGUGGGAUAAGGCAGCUGUAAAGGAAAAGAUACGAUAAGAUGCGAUGGGGCCCAUAAAUGUGUACUCGGUCUAUCUUAUCUUCUCCUAAGAACGCCUAUAUAAUCCUAGUGUGUGAAACUUAGCAAGGCAGGCGAGAAAUACUCGAAGUCUUACUCAGUUCUAAGUUAGCCUUUCUUGAGUUCCUGAGCUAAAACAGCCAAUACUCAAGACAAUCCUUGUAAUCCAUUGUAAAAAUUUCCACUGGUAUUGUAUAACAAGUACUGUUGUGCUUGUUUAUUUUCCACUUCCCACUUCUCCACCACGUUUUUAUCUAUCUUCCGAUGUAAUGCUGCUCCAGAUCUUGGUGCUAUUCUUGCAUAAUAUCCUUCUGGAAAUUCCAUAGUUAUUCCUGUCUUUGCUAGCAUUCUGUCUCUUGCAGGUAUGUCAAUCAUUUGAUCUAGGAAAAGAUCAUACCCUGCUGCUCCUUUGGUGCGUUGUUCAGGAAUUUUUGCCGUUGUGGUUAACCUUUUAACCUUUAGGAAUUCAAAGGUUAAAAUGUGAUAACCCUCACCUUGGGGCCCCUCCAGGAUGUUCAAUGCGAUUUGGAAGGGAAGUAAAUCACGUGGGCUUUACCCAACACAGUGGCCUUUUGCAUGGGGUUAGGUGACCCGCAAUGUAUUUCGUACAUGACCUAUUGCAGCGACAUCACAUGCAAGUACCAACUGUGCUUGCCCGUGGGGGCAGUUGCAUGUGUUCCUAAAAUAUAUCACGGAAUGACCCUCCAUAUAUAAAUUAAUUAAAUAUUAAUAUUAGUCUAUUUGUUAAUCAUUAAAUUGAACAGCUAAUUAAUAAGUACAUAUAAUUGUUUAUAAAUUUAAUUAUAUUAAUACUUCAAAAAUUAAUUUAAUAUUAUUUCGUCAAUUAUUAACAAUUUAUUGUUAAUUAAUUAUUUUUAUUAGUUUAAUUAGUAAUUUAUAUUUUUUGACUUAUUGGAAACAGAAACUAUUUGAGAUUAUAAAGGAAAACUUCUGCAAUGUGUAAUAUUCAUGUUUGAUUAUCUAUAAUUCACAUUUUUUUUUUAUUUUGAAAUAUCUUUUAUUUUCUUUUUUUAUUUUAUUUUAUUUUUUUAAUUUUGAUUCUGAUCCCACAACCCAAUAUGGUCUAUACAUAGUUCUUUAUAUAAUUUCUGAUAUCCAUACUAUCACUCAUGGUUUUACUGCUUGAUGUAUAGCUUACAAUUUCUUAUGGUUCUUUUUCCCC